rnacentral:rRNA from 1 species
UUGAUGUUGUAAGGACCCUUGUAGACUACAAGGUUGAUAGGCUGGGUGUGGAAGUGCAGUAAUGUAUGAAGCUUACCAGUACUAAUUGUCCGAGAGACUUGGUCAU